rnacentral:rRNA from 1 species
GACGAACGCUGGCGGCGUGCCUAAUACAUGCAAGUAGAACGCUGAAGAGAGGAGCUUGCUCUUCUUGGAUGAGUUGCGAACGGGUGAGUAACGCGUAGGUAACCUGCCUUGUAGCGGGGGAUAACUAUUGGAAACGAUAGCUAAUACCGCAUAACAAUGGAUGACCCAUGUCAUUUAUUUGAAAUGGGCAAAUGCUCCACUACAAGAUGGACCUGCGUUGUAUUAGCUAGUAGGUGAGGUAACGGCUCACCUAGGCGACGAUACAUAGCCGACCUGAGAGGGUGAUCGGCCACACUGGGACUGAGACACGGCCCAGACUCCUACGGGAGGCAGCAGUAGGGAAUCUUCGGCAAUAGGGGCAACCCUGACCGAGCAACGCCGCGUGAGUGAAGAAGGUUUUCGGAUCGUAAAGCUCUGUUGUAAGUCAAGAACGAGUGUGAGAGUGGAAAGUUCACACUGUGACGGUAGCUUACCAGAAAGGGACGGCUAACUACGUG